rnacentral:rRNA from 1 species
GUCUGGGGCCAUACAAUCCUGAACACGCCCGAUCUCGUAAGCUAAGCAGGGUUGGGCCUGGUUAGUACUUGGAUGGAGAGAGGGAGAGAGAGAGAGAGACCUGCAGCCC